UACUGGGGGAGCAAACGUUGUUCGGAAUCACUGGGCGUAAAGGGAGCGUAGGCGGCCAUGUAAGUGAGGUGUUAAAUCCCCCGGCUCAACCGGGGACCUGCACCUCAUACUGCACGGCUUGGGUACAUCAGAGGAGACUGGAAUUCCCGGUGUGGCGGUGAAAUGCGUAGAUAUCGUAAGGAAGACCAGUGGCGAAGGCGAAUCUCUGGACAGUUACUGACACUGAGGCACGAAGGCCAGGGGAGCAAACGGG
rnacentral:rRNA from 1 species